GACAAUAGUUCAUGUUAUUUACAGAAUGUGAUGUAAUUUUGAAAUUUGAAGUUUUACACACAAUAUAAUCAGUGCUAGCACAAUGGCUUCGUUUCAAUUUGAGCAUAUAAAAAAUUAGAAUUUUGAUAGCGUACGUGGCCUUUCACAAACAUAUUAAACGCCUGAUAAUUGAUAAAUAAAUAUCAGUGCGAGCACAACGGCAGCAAAAUAAUAACAAAUAAAAGAAUAUGAGCUAAAUUAAAAACAGCAAAGCUUUACCUACCUCGAUCUAGUUUUCUAAGGCGCUAAUUUAAGUAAAUUUUCGACGAAAGCCGUGAAC